AUACCUUUCUCGGCCUUUUGGCUAAGAUCAAGUGUAGUAUCUGUUCUUAUCAGUUUAAUAUCUGAUAGGUGAACCAUUGGUUCACAUGAUAUUAAAUUUAUUUUUGAAGGGAGAGGACCCUUAAACGUAGCUUGCUAAUGGGGGUUCUCAUGCAUCACCAUGCCUUGCACUACAGCGUGGACAUGGUGCAUCCCAC